AACGAACGCUGGCGGCGUGCCUAACACAUGCAGGUCGAACGGAAUUAGAGAGCUUGCUCUUUAAUUUAGUGGCGCACGGGUGAGUAACGCGUAGAUAAUCUGCCUGACGAUCUGGGAUAACACUUCGAAAGAGGUGCUAAUACCGGAUAAGCCCACGGGUUCUUUGGAAUCUGCGGGAAAAGGGGGGGACCUUCGGGCCUUCUGUCGUCAGAUGAGUCUGCGUACCAUUAGCUAGUUGGUAGGGUAAAGGCCUACCAAGGCGACGAUGGUUAGCUGGUCUGAGAGGAAGAUCAGCCACACUGGAACUGGGACACGGUCCAGACUCCUACGGGAGGCAGCAGUGGGGAAUUUUGCGCAAUGGGCGAAAGCCUGACGCAGCAACGCCGCGUGAGUGAUGAAGGCUUUCGGGUCGUAAAGCUCUGUCAAGGGGAAAGAAGUGUAGAGUGGUUAAUACCCGCUUUACUUGACGGUACCCCUGAAGGAAGCACCGGCUAACUCCGUGCCAGCCGCCGCAGUAAAAC
rnacentral:rRNA from 1 species